UACAGAGGUCUCAAGCGUUUGUUCGGAUUCAUUGGGCGUAAAGGGUGCGUAGGCGGCGCGGUAAGUCGGGUGUGAAAUCUCGGGAGCUUAACUCCGAAACUGCAUUCGAUACUGCCGUGCUUGAGGACUGGAGAGGAGACUGGAAUUUACGGUGUAGCGGUGAAAUGCGUAGAUAUCGUAAGGAAGACCAGUGGCGAAGGCGGGUCUCUGGACAGUUCCUGACGCUGAGGCACGAAGGCCAGGGGGAGCAAACGGG
rnacentral:rRNA from 1 species